rnacentral:rRNA from 1 species
UACGGGAGGCAGCAGUGGGGAAUUUUGGACAAUGGGGGAAACCCUGAUCCAGCAAUGCCGCGUGUGUGAAGAAGGCCUUCGGGUUGUAAAGCACUUUUGUCCGGAAAGAAAACUUCUCCAUUAAUACCGGGGGAGGAUGACGGUACCGGAAGAAUAAGCACCGGCUAACUACGUGCCAGCAGCCGCGGUAAUACGUAGGGUGCGAGCGUUAAUCGGAAUUACUGGGCGUAAAGCGUGCGCAGGCGGUUCGUUAAGACAGAUGUGAAAUCCCCGGGCUUAACCUGGGAACUGCAUUUGUGACUGUCGAGCUAGAGUAUGGCAGAGGGGGGUAGAAUUCCACGUGUAGCAGUGAAAUGCGUAGAGAUGUGGAGGAAUACCGAUGGCGAAGGCAGCCCCCUGGGCCAAUACUGACGCUCAUGCACGAAAGCGUGGGGAGCAAACAGGAUUAGAUACCCUGGUAGUCCACGCCCUAAACGAUGUCAACUAGUUGUUGGGGAUUCAUUUCCUUAGUAACGUAGCUAACGCGUGAAGUUGACCGCCUGGGGAGUACGGUCGCAAGAUUAAAACUCAAAGGAAUUGACGGGGACCCGCACAAGCGGUGGAUGAUGUGGAUUAAUUCGAUGCAACGCGAAAAACCUUACCUACCCUUGACAUGGUCGGAACCCUGCUGAAAGGUGGGGGUGCUCGAAAGAGAACCGAUACACAGGUGCUGCA